rnacentral:tRNA from 1 species
GCGAGGCUGGCGAAAUUGGUAGACGCGCACGGUUCAGGUCCGUGUGUCUUACGACGUGGGGGUUCGAGUCCCUUGCCUCGCACCA